rnacentral:rRNA from 1 species
GAAAUUUAAAUGCUCAUAGUGGAUGCCUAGGUAGUUGAAGGCGAAGAAGGACGUAGUAAUUUACGAUAAUUUCGGUUAGAGAAUAAACCUUUUUUUGAACCGAAAAGAUUUCCGAAUGGGGGAACCUUUGUGGACUUAAAAGUUUUUUUUUAUGUACACAAAUUAUUCUUUUUAAAAGAGAAUAAUGCAAACGCAGAGAACUGAAACAUCUUAGUAACUGCAGGAAAAGAAAUCAAUAUUGAGAUUCCCUUAGUAGUGGCGAACGAAAAGGGAAAAGUCUAGCAAUUAUUUUUUUAUAUGAUUAUCUCAAUCAUUUGGAAUUGAUGAACUAUAAAGAGUGAAAGUCUCGUAAGUUAAAAUCAUAUAAAAGAUUUUUUGCGAUAAGUAGGACGAGACACGAGAAAUCUUGUUUGAAUAAAGGAGGACCAUCUUCUAAGACUAAAUACUAACAACUGACCGAUAGUGAACUAGUACCGUGAGGGAAAGGUGAAAAGAACCCCUGUUAGGGGAGUGAAAUAGACCUGAAACUGUGAGCAUACAAUAAGUCGGAGCUAUAUUUAUAUAGUGACGGCGUACCUUUUGUAUAAUGGGUCAGCGACUUACAUUUAGUAGCGAGCUUAACUUUUUAUAGGUAGGCGUAGAGAAAUCAAGUUUUAAUAGAGCGAUAGUUUCUAAAUGUAGACCCGAAACCAGACGAUCUAUCCAUGAUCAGGGUGAAGAAAAAGUAAUAUUUUUUGGAGGCCCGAACCCACUAACGUUGCAAAGUUAGGGGAUGAAUUGUGGAUAGGGGUGAAAGGCCAAUCAAGUUUGGAGAUAGCUGGUUCUCUUCGAAAGCUAUUUAGGUAGCGCCUCAUAUCUCUUUUUUAGGGGUAGAGCUCUGUUAUGAUUCUAGAAAUAGUAAAUCAUUGCAAACUUUAAUACUAAAUUAAGAAGUUAUGGGAGACAGACAUUGGGUGAUAAGGUCCAGUGUCGAGAGGGAAACAGCCCAGACUACGAGAUAAGGUCCCUAAAUAUUAGCUAAGUGUUAAACGAUGUUUAAAAACUAUAACAAUCAGGAGGUAGGCUUAGAAGCAGCUAUCCUUUAAAGAAAGCGUAAAAGCUCACUGAUCUAGUUUUUUUGCACGGAAGAUAAACGGGGCUAAGCUAAUUACCGAAGCUGUAGAAUUAUUUUUCAUAAAACAAAUAAAAUAAUUGGUAGAAGAGCGUUCCUAAUCGGAGAAGGCAAUAUGUGAAUAUUGUUGGAGAAAAAGGAAGUGAGAAUGCUGACAUAAGUAACGUUAAAGGAAGUGAAAAACUUUCUCGCCGAAAAUCUAAGGUUUCCUACACAAUGGUAAUCAAUGUAGGGUUAGUCGGUGCCUAAGGCGAGGCAGAAAUGCGUAGUCGAUGGAGAGCAGUUUAAUAUUACUGCACUAUUAUAAGAAGUGACGGAAUGAAGAAUAUCUUGGCUUGUUGCAAAUUUGGAGUUUUGCAUUCUUAUUUAGAAGACAUAUAGGAAAAUCCAUAUGUAUUAUUCAAAAGAAGAAAACAUUUUUUUUAAAAUGUUACAAUUAAAGAUGUUCCCAGAAAAGUUUCUAAACAAUUCUUAUGAAGCCGUACCGUAAACCGACACAGGUGGAUGGGAAGAGAAUUCUAAGGCGUUGGGAUAACUCAGGAGAAGGAACUCGGCAAAAUUAUAUCGUAACUUCGGAAUAAGAUAUACCAAAGAGAUUUAUUGUUUCUUUGGUCUCAGUUAAACGGUAGCUGCGACUGUUUAUUAAAAACACAGCACUCUGCAAACACGUAAGUGGAAGUAUAGGGUGUGACGCCUGCCCAGUGCUAAAAGAUGAAAAAAAAAAUGUUAGCGCAUUUUUUAUAAGUCCUAGUAAACGGCGGCCGUAACUAUAACGGUCCUAAGGUAGCGAAAUUCCUUGUCGGGUAAGUUCCGACCUGCACGAAUGGCGUAACGAUGGCUACACUGUCUCCUCCUGAGACCCAGUGAAAUUGAAAUGUUCGUGAAGAUGCGAACUACUCGCGGCAAGACGGAAAGACCCCAUGAACCUUUACUGUAACCUUGUAUUGAAUAAAAAACUUAAAUGUGUAGGCUAGGUAGCAGUACUUUUUUCUUGAAAAGGGUACGAAAGGUGAAAUACUACCCUCUUACUUUUUUUAUUCUAAUCUAAUAUUUUGAAUCAAAUAUAGAGACAGUGCAUGGCUGUCAGUUUGACUGGGGCGGUCUCCUCCUAAAAAGUAACGGAGGAGCACAAAGGUAUGCUACAUACGAACAGAAAUCGUAUAGUUAGUGUAAUGGCAUAAGCAUGCUUGACUGUAAGACAGACGAGUCGAGCAGGUGCGAAAGCAGGUCAUAGUGAUCCGGUGGUACCACAUGGAAGGACCAUCGCUUAACGGAUAAAAGGUACUCUGGGGAUAACAGGCUAAUACCGCCCAAGAGUUCACAUCGACGGCGGUGUUUGGCACCUCGAUGUCGGCUCAUCUCAUCCUGGGGCUGAAGAAGGUCCCAAGGGUAUGGCUGUUCGCCAUUUAAAGAGGUACGUGAGCUGGGUUUAAAACGUCGUGAGACAGUUUGGUCCCUAUCUGCCGUGAGCGUUGAGAAAAUGAAGAUUUCUACUUCUAGUACGAGAGGACCGAAGUGGGUAUACCUAUGGUUUUCCGGUUGUUACUCCAGUAGCAUUGCCGGGUAGCUAAGUAUUAAGGGAUAACUGCUGAAAGCAUAUAAGCGGGAAGCCCUAUCUAAGAUUAUUUUCUCCUAAUUUAAAGGUUGUUCUAGACUAGGACUUUGAUAGGCUGAAUGUGUAAACAAGGUAACUUGCAAGCUGAUCAGUACUAAUUACCUUAUUGACUUGAGUA